ACUAGUGAUUUUGUACACACCGCCCGUCACACCAUGGGAGUGGGUUUUGCCAGAAGUAGUUAGCCUAACCGCAAGGAGGGCGAUUACCACGGCAGGGUUCAUGACUGGGGUGAAGUCGUAACAAGGUAGCCGUAUCGGAAGGUGCGGCUGGAUCAUCUCCUU
rnacentral:rRNA from 1 species